rnacentral:rRNA from 1 species
GACGAACGCUGGCGGCGUGCCUAAUACAUGCAAGUUGAGCGCUGAAGGUUGGUACUUGUACCGACUGGAUGAGCAGCGAACGGGUGAGUAACGCGUGGGGAAUCUGCCUUUGAGCGGGGGACAACAUUUGGAAACGAAUGCUAAUACCGCAUAAAAACUUUAAACACAAGUUUUAAGUUUGAAAGAUGCAAUUGCAUCACUCAAAGAUGAUCCCGCGUUGUAUUAGCUAGUUGGUGAGGUAAAGGCUCACCAAGGCGAUGAUACAUAGCCGACCUGAGAGGGUGAUCGGCCACAUUGGGACUGAGACACGGCCCAAACUCCUACGGGAGGCAGCGGUAGGGAAUCUUCGGCAAUGGACGAAAGUCUGACCGAGCAACGCCGCGUGAGUGAAGAAGGUUUUCGGAUCGUAAAACUCUGUUGGUAGAGAAGAACGUUGGUGAGAGUGGAAAGCUCAUCAAGUGACGGUAACUACCCAGAAAGGGACGGCUAACUACGU